rnacentral:rRNA from 1 species
CGGAGGAUCCGAGCGUUAUCCGGAAUCAUUGGGUUUAAAGGGUCCGUAGGCGGUUUUGUAAGUCAGUGGUGAAAGCCCAUCGCUCAACGGUGGAACGGCCAUUGAUACUGCAAGACUUGAAUUAUUGGGAAGUAACUAGAAUAUGUAGUGUAGCGGUGAAAUGCUUAGAGAUUACAUGGAAUACCAAUUGCGAAGGCAGGUUACUACCAAUGGAUUGACGCUGAUGGACGAAAGCGUGGGUAGCGAACAGG